rnacentral:rRNA from 1 species
CAGCAGCCGCGGGAAUACGAAGGGGGCUAGCGUUGCUCGGAAUUACUGGGCGUAAAGGGAGCGUAGGCGGAUCGUUAAGUUGGGGGUGAAAGCCCGGGGCUCAACCUCGGAACUGCCUUCAAUACUGGCGAUCUUGAGUAUGAGAGAGGUGCGUGGAACUCCGAGUGUAGAGGUGAAAUUCGUAGAUAUUCGGAAGAACACCAGUGGCGAAGGCGACACACUGGCUCAUUACCGACGCUGAGGCUCGAAAGCGUGGGGAGCAAACAGGAUUAGAUACCCCCGUAGUCCCUGUCUCUUAUAC